CUUAAAGAAUACCUACAAUGAUAAAGCGAUUUCCACCAAUUUCCAUUCCUUAGCUUGUGUUAAUUGAUUAAAAAUACCUACACGUGGUGCCUAUACACGAUGCCACAGUCACUUAAUUUUAUUAAAGUAGCACUUAUAAUAUUAUUAUUUUUGGAAUCAUAUAAUACCUCAAGCGAUAUUAACAAACAUAAACUCCCUGCGAGCGGGCUAAGAGUAUAAAGUAUUAGAAAUGAAUAUCGGACUGAAGCCAAUUGACAUAUUUAUUUUAACAGAAAACAUUUUUGGUCUCUACAAAAAUAUAAGCACGUUUAGCAAGCUAAGAAAAACAAUUGCCAUCACCAUAAUUUCUAUUGAAUUAUCUUUGUGUUUAUACGUUCUUUAUACUAUUGAAUUCAACAAUUUUAAAAACGUAUAUUUGACUCUCUUCUUUCAGUUAUAUUCUAUUGUAUCUAUUUUGAUGUCCUGUUACUAUUCAAAAGCGUAUAUGAAAUUUAUAAAUUGCUUAAAUUCCAACGAUAUACUUGUUGAUUUUUUACAUGACAAGAUAUAUUUCAAACGCUUGGCUUCACAUUUUAAACUUGGCCUCAAGCGCAUCUGCGGAUAUAUAUUUCUUUAUAUUGUGACGAUAAUAAUGUCUGUAAUUUACGAUGUACACGUUGUAGUCCGCAAAGGGGAACAAAAGGUUGUCCUUUUUGGCAGAGCACUAAGUGUGCUUCGUUUACAUGUUGAAUACAAUUUUAUAUGCUUUACAUUCCAUACUAUAUCUGAACAACUGCAAUGCAUAACGAGAUCUGUUGUUGGAAGAAAUUUAUAUCAUUGUGAAGAUGGCGACGUAACACGAACAAUAAAUAUAGAGAAAUGGCGCCAAAAUUACAUAAAUGUCAAAAAAUGCACCGUCUUCUUAAAUGAAAUAAUUGGCAUACAGUUGGCUUCAUCGUUUUGUAUCGUCGCAAUGCGCUAUAUUAAUACAUGCUACAGUGCAGUAGUUUAUGGGCUCAAAGGCCACCUCAAUGUUGGAAUGUUGCUGUUUUACGGUUGGGUGUGCAGUUCCAUGUGGAUAAUAUAUGCAACCGUACAUGCAGCGCAGAGUGUACAAAACAGCGUCAGCGCUCUAACGCGUUGCUUAAAACUGCUUUUCGUACUAGAACAAGCGAAUGAACAUGCAGAUGAAAAUAAGCUAAAGAUAGUAAAACAGCUUUUGCAAAUAGUUACAACGCGACCAAUAAAAGUAAAAGCCUUUGGUGGUAUUGACGUCAACAUGGCGCUGAUUCCCGCGUGCCUCAGCAUCGUCGCGAGCUACACUAUCAUCGCUCUCCAGUUCUACAAGAUCGUGUAACGCGUCGCUCUCCGAUUCAACAAUGUCGUAUAACGUAAUGACUUAAAAUGUGGAAUGCCACACAACCAAUAAAAAGAGUUCAAAUACACAACAAAAAAAGGUCUUGCCAUAAAAUGGAAACUAUUUCUUCUAAUUUUAAUCUAAUUAAAAAAGAGGAAGUCGAUUUAAAAUGGUACUGCUUA